AAUCGGUUCUCCGCGAGGAGAUGAAAAGGGAACCAGGUGAAAGUCCUGGGCAGUCCCGCUGCUGUAAGCGACAUUCUCUCAUCCCCACAGCAAAAAGUCACUGGUGAUGGGCACGUAGGUCGCCUAAGGUUUCCCGAGGAACCCUUGGCGAUGGUGCGAUGCCUAUGAUUGGGAAGACGUGUGGAUGGUCGCAAGCCAGAAGACCUGCCAUUGCUUAUU
rnacentral:ncRNA from 1 species